CGCAGCCGCAGCAGAGCCCUAUGUGGCCUGGGGGCUACACAAGAGUUUCUUCUUCCCUCUGAUGUUUUGCUUCAGAGAGCACUGUUCCUGCCUUCUUGUCCUCCUACUUCUCAUCCUUCCUUCCCGCUCCUGGGCUCUGCCGAGGGUUAGGUAAAGAACAGGACUCAGGGAGCUCAACGUCAGACCUGUAACCUCUUCUCUCUGGUGAUAACCAGAGGCCUCU
rnacentral:lncRNA from 1 species